UACGUAGGGCGCAAGCGUUAUCCGGAAUUAUUGGGCGUAAAGAGCUCGUAGGCGGUUUGUCGCGUCUGCCGUGAAAGUCCGGGGCUCAACUCCGGAUCUGCGGUGGGUACGGGCAGACUAGAGGUAGGUAGGGGAGAACGGAAUUCCCGGUGUAGCGGUGAAAUGCGCAGAUAUCGGGAGGAACACCGGUGGCGAAGGCGGUUCUCUGGGCCUUACCUGACGCUGAGGAGCGAAAGCAUGGGGAGCGAACAGG
rnacentral:rRNA from 1 species